CAGGUUGUGAUGAUUUGACAGAGUUUAACGCCCCCACUAAAACAAUCUUCCACCAACACAAUCUUCUGAGGCUUGUUGAACAUAACUAUUUCCAGAAUGCUUGCGUCAUGUAUCAGACUGUCCAUAAACGAAACCAUAAACUCUGUCAACUCAUCCCAAUCUGUACUCCCAGCCACACCCACACCACCAGGAAUAGCAAUCUAAUCAUUGGGAGAAAACGGAAACUAAAAUCUACAAGCUUUAGCAUUGUGUGCAGAGGGCCACAGAUUUGGAAUGAGCUU